CUGGCAUUGCUCUUGAGUUAUCGGCAUUCUGUCUGCUUGUUUACACUGAAGACCGUCUGAUAAGGAAGGACGAAUAACAGGAGGACUUUGAAGAACCAGAGCCAGGAGCCGAGAGACCAGUCCUUCCCCUUCAGAAGAGCCCAAGAGUGGAAUCUGGAUCUGGUAUGAGACAAAUCAGAAGAGAAGCUGAGUUGAUGUGCUGUGAGAGAACGCCCCCUUGUUUGUGA
rnacentral:lncRNA from 1 species